rnacentral:lncRNA from 1 species
CCUGUAGACUCAGGGGCAGGGUGUAGAUGGGGAUUCAUAUAUAUAUGCUGCCUGGAGUUCUAACUUCAGUGCAUGGGUUGGGGAUCUGGCAUUGUCUCUGCAAUGGCACAGGUUAGUCCCCAGCCUGGCACAGUGGGUUAAGGAUCCAGUGUUGCCACAGCUGUGACAAAAGUCUCAGCAAUGACUUGGAUUCAACUUCCAUAUGCCACAUGUGCUGUCAAAUAGGAGCUUGUCUUUCAGCUUUUAGUACCACCAUGAACCCAUUUACAAACAAUAGAGCAGCAGAGAAUAAAAGCUGUUUACCUUGACUUUCAUCUUGGUUCAUUUCCACUUUAAACUGUACUCAGGAUUCAAAUUGUAUAUGGAUACCUAUAAGUAUCCAUCAAGAAUUGUGUUGCCAGCCACUUCUUACUCCUAUUGGGUUUGGAACACAAAGACUAGAGUUGGUGUGUCUUAUUUGUUCUACCAUAGCAAGUUUAGUAAACUGUUGAUCUGAGCUCAGGAUUCAUGAGGUUUCUUAUGGCCUUUGAAACAUCUACUUUGUAUUAACACAUCCAGCAAAAUGAGCUAUCUUCUGAGUAUAUAAUACAAUCCCCCCAAUACAUCUAUUUCUUAUUAUUCCUAAGCACUUUAUCCCAAAUAAUCAUAUUUAUUUUCAUAAUUAUAUCAUUGCUCUAUUUAUUUCCUGUUCUUCAUUGUGUGAUUCACUCUGUGAUUCACUCUUACGUUUUCCAUCUUAAGCUUGGUUUCAGUUUUAGGCUCUCAUUCUGUCAUUAUCCAUUUCAUACACUUUAUUUUUCUCAGAAGUCAUUCACUCUAUAUCUAAAAAAUGCUAUCUAGUUGUAAAUUGACUUACAGAAUUAAAUUAGCUUUUCUAUAUUAUGGUCUUUUCCUCCAUCACUCUCUCAUUCUCUCUUUGUUGCCUCUCUCUUCCUCCCCACCUCUCUUACAAACACUUGGCUUUUCCUAGAAUAUUUAUCCUUCUGAGAUUAUCUAUUUCUCCUCAGUUUAAACAAGCAGGUACCUAAGGAAGGACUGAGACUGUCAUUUCUCCUGGGAGGCAUGUCUGGAAAGGAGGCAUGAUUUUGUUACCCUGGAUUUGAGUAAGAAACAACAAAUUGCUGCCACCACCAGAUUCAUCAACUUUCUACAGAAUGUGGAGGUAGUUGUUGGAGAAAAGACACAGAGAAACGAAAGACAGGGGUCUUAGGAAGGAGAAAAAGAGACUUUCAGACUUAACAGGCACUUUGCUAAAUUUCUGUCUCAAUAUGAAAAGAUUUCAGUGUAUUUUCAAGCAAUCAGUGGAAUGUUAGCAACUAUUUUCCAUUGCUCUUUCUCUUCUCAGAUUAGUUAUUUUUCCACUCUUGCUUAGCCCCACUGAUCAUAUUUUCUCCUCACCUACUAAUUACAAUAAGAAUGUACAUUUCAAAAUUAAGUUGACACCCUGACCUCUAUCUAUAUUUCAGUCAUAACAUACCAUUCCUAUUCCCUUUUCAACCUAGUAGCUUACAUUGGGCUUUCUUUCCGAAUACUUUUUAAGAUUUUUUUUUUUUCUUCAUGGCCAUACUCAUCAGGGAUCAAAUCCUCAUCUUCACAGCAACCCAAGCAGCUGCAGCUGGAUACUUAACCCACUGUGCCACGGUGGGACUCCCUUUUCAAUGUUUUUUCUAAUGUUUCUGCCUCUCCUGUGUUGAAGACAGACUUGGUUUUUGCUAUACAGUGCAUUGAAAGUUCCUAUACUCUUAGGCUCAUCCCAUCCAAUGAGAAUCUGCCUGCAAAACUAGAAAGAUAAUUGCCCAAGUGCUAGUUCUUUAUACUCUUGGGUGGAUGCUAUGAACUUGAGACAUUGCUUGACAAUUUAAUACAAGGACUUUAACAUUUUUAAUGGAUUCCAUUUCCUACACUUUUAAUUUUUGUUUCUUUCCUUUGAAGCUUCUCACUUUUCAAGACAAAGAGCUAAAGCCAGACAUAUCAUACUAAUAAGAUUCUGGUCAAUGUGGAUAUAAUGAGAAGGUUCCCACAUCACAUAAGUGCUAAUCUUUUACUGUAUUGUAUGACAUGAGUGCUUUUUAAUAUAUUACAGGAAACCCAGAUUUGUGAUUUCCCGUACUCCCACUCAUGAUUCCUUCCAGAAUUGCCAGACAUCCACUUCCAGAAAGACUGUUAGAUUUUGUGUGGCCCCAUGGUCUUUUUUUUUUUUCCCCCUUAAAAUCUCUCCAGAAAAUUUUUUCUUACAGCUGGGCCUAGAGAGAAUAGGCACUUUUGGGAACUCUCCUCAUCCAGUUUGGAAGGAAACUUGACCUUCGAGGCAUCCACAAGGCUUAAAAAUGUGGUAAACAGAAAUGGCUAAAUAAUUUUAAGGACCCAGUGUAAAUGAAAAUGUAGAGCCCCUUCUUCAAAGGUUAAGAAUUUCAAGAGGGUGGCAGCAAAGUAUUAAGCCAAGCAUGAGGCCCUUCUAAAUACAGGUGACUACACAUCAUGUGCUCAUGAAGCCAGCCCUGGUGGUGAGAAAACCGGGGAGUAGAUAGGGAUCAUCCUGUGUGUCUCUUCCUGGUUCUCUAGACACAACUCAUUUGUGCAGGAGGAGCAAGGGACCCAAAUUCCCUAGCCAUUAGAAUAUCAAAAUGUAUUCUGUACUAUGUGAGGCUUGUUUCAUAAUAUCCUUGUUAAUUAAUUUCAGUGGAUGGUUUCCUACCUUCUUAUCAUAGCCAGUAAGGUAAUUUUCCCGCUGUCCCAGUGUGGUGACCUGAAUUUACUUUAACUGAUUUUUUUUUUUUUUAACAAAAAACCUUUCUUGUGGUUCCUAUUAUGGCUCAGAGGAAACAAAUCUGACUAGCAUCCAUGAGGACACAGGUUCAAUCCCUGACCUCGCUCACUGGGUUAAGGAUCUGGCAUUGCUGUGAGUUGUGCUGUAGGUUGCAGAUGUGAGUUGGAUCCUGCAGUGUUGUGGCUCUGGUGCAGGCCGGCAGCUACAGCUCCAGUUAGACCCCUUGGCUGGGAACCUCCAUGUGCUAGAGAUGCAGCCCUAAAAAGACAAAAAAAAAAAAAAAUAGCUUUCUUUCUUAAAAAUACAUAUCACUGCACAAAGGGAAUGAAUAAAAUGCAUGUGGUUUGUCUAUUACACACAGAUAAAAUACAGAACUUACCAAUCAAGAACAGGACUUCCUGCUUGAGAAGACAAAACAAAAUAAAAAUAAAGACCUAAAUCAACAUUGCUUUAAAAUCCCUACAGAAGACGACUCUAUGGCAUAUAGAAGUAGUGAGAUUGCAUUGACUUUCUCCAAUUCUGUUUUAAAUCUCAGUUGUGAUUUGCUUGGAUAGGCUGAGGCCAGCCCCUUCCCAAGCACUCUUUGUGUUUUGGUCCUUUGUUUUCAGAUAGGUAGUAGAUAAACUUGGGGUCUAGUUCUUCCAUUUAUUCAAUACCUCCUCCAAUUCUGUUUUAAAUCUCAGUUGUGAUUUGCUUGGAUAGGCUGAGGCCAGCCCCUUUCCAAGCACUCUUUGUGUCUUAGUCCUUUGUUUUCAGGUAGGUAGUAGAUAAACUUAGGGACUAGUUCUUCCAUUCAUUCAAUACCUCCUUCUGUCCUAUCAGAAGACAGAGUUACAAGGGAACUCAUAACAAAGUAGAAAGACUGCUGGAUUAGGAAUCUGAAGUCGUGUUUGGUCAGUUUCACCAGCUAAUGGAGCUUAAAAUAAUGUCUCCUGUCAUCUUCUUCAAGACUUAGUCCCCUCAUCUACUAAAGUAAACUUAGUAGUGUCUUCCUACCUGAACUAGCAAAUUUGCCAUAAGCAUCAAAUAAAAUCACUAUCCAUGUUGUAGAGUUUGCUUCUAUAAGAGAUUCAGAUACUCCUAGACCCCCAAAGGACUUAUCAUUUAUUUAAAAAUUUGAGACAAGUAUAGGAGGAAAAAAACCAUAAAAGAAGUAGGAAUAGUAAAUCCUCUAAGAGUUCAUAAAAAUGAAUUUAGAGUAUGGAAGGGAGUAUAGGGGAAGGAUAUUGGGGUUGAGCCAUGGGUAGGCUUCAUCAGAAAGGUGGAGGGUCAAGAAAACAUAUUCUAAAACAUGCAAAGAGUAUUAGCAGCAGGGAUAUGAGAAGGGUCUAUAACAUCUGACGUGCCCAAAGGAAGAUCGUUUUGACUAGAACUUAAGUAUUGUGAAGGAAGAGAACAGAGUUAGGUCAUGGAGGACCUUGACUAUCUGACUGCAGAGUUAAAAGUUUUUCUAGUAUACAGUGUAGAGUUUGUGAAAGAUUUGGAAAGAGAAAUAUUAUCUGGUCAAAUGAGAUGUUGUAUGAGAAAGCAACGUUAAAACAAAUGACAUAGCAAGACCGCAUUUAAUAAAUUCUUGUAUCCUAUUACAUGGAUUGUAUAUCCACUCAUGACAUUGAAGUAGCAGUUAGCAAUACCAGUCUGGUGUUCCCUGAGGUGUAGUAUAUACUCUGGCCAAAUAUUCUUGCAUUUAAUUUUGCCUUUAAGGAGUUGGAAAAAUCAAUCUCACUUACUUCAGUGGCUAUAAAAAUGGAAAAUAACCCAUGUGUACAAAAGCCUUGUAGAUGCCAGAACUUUCAAUUUUGAAAAACUUUAUAAUGAUACUGACAAAGAUGGCUGAGCCAAAGUUACCAGUGAGUGUAUAAUGACUAAUAAUAAAAAUAAGAUAAUAAGAACAACUAUCUUCUCUGGCACACUUGCUAUUUCCCAGGAACUGCAUGAUUGCCUUAACUACACUAUUAAAUUUGGUCCUCACAGCAGUUCUGUCAUAGAGAUUUGAUAUCCUCUACAGGUGAGGAAAGUGAUAUUUAGAGAUACUAAAUAAUCUGACUGAGAUCACAUAGUCGUAAGGCAUUGGUGCUGAUUUUCCAACCUAAACUGUUUUGUAAUCCAGAGCCUUGGCUCUUAACCUUGCUAUUUGUUUUAAUUUUUAUUCUCUUUUCUAAAUUUUCUACAAUGAACAUAAACGAUCCAUGAAUUUAAAUAAUGAACUAAAUUCAUUUUUUAAAGUCUCCUUAAAGAACAAGAUUUGCUACCAGUCUGAUCUUAAUUAGGAUUCUGCUUACCCAUUUUAGGGUUAUGUUUUAUCAAGAUGGAAGGAUCUUUUCAUCUUUGUAAUCACGCCUGCCAAGACCACAUUUUGAAUCUAACCUGAAGAAGCGCUCCUAAGUUAGUAGAUGCAAACUAUUACAUUUAGAAUGGAUAAGCAAAGAAAUGAGGUCCUGCUGUGCAGCCCAGGGAACUAUAUCCAAUCACUUCUGAUCAAACAUGAUGGAAGAUAAUAUGAGAAAAAGAAGGUAUAUAUGAAUGACUGGGUCACUUUGCUGUACAGCAUAAAUUGAUAUAACAUUGUAAGUCAACUAUAAUAAUUUUUAAAAAAAGAAGCACUUCUAAGCUACUGUACUUCUCUGUGUCUCCAACUUAAAGUCAAAGGUUCAGUAUUUUAAAACCUUUGAUAUUAGCAUUAGUGGAGAUGUAAGAUAAGCCUGAUUCCAGUAGGGGUGUAGGUCUGGUGAUGAUGGUGAGAGGGGCACUGGUCUCCAGGAUCAAACACCUUCUGUCCAUUAUGUGAGUGUAGAGAAUGAGUAAGGGACAUCCCCCUGUCUCUGUUUUACAGCCUCGUAGGGAUGUGUCAGGUCUUUCUGACCCAUUAGUGGCCUUGAGAAAGGAGGAAGAGCAGCCAACACAUGGACGCCUUCCUCAUUAGGUGUCAUCGAAUGAUGGCUAUAGAUGCAACCUCAGGGCCAAUUAUUAACAUUACAGAUGGGAAGCAUAGUGGCUUAUCAAGGUCUCCCAGUAAGUUAAUGAAAGUUUUAGCAAGGUGUUCUUCUAUAAGAACACUCGGGAAUAAAUGUAAUGAACUUAGACCAGUCCACGUAUAUGGUGAGGGACAGAAAAGUUGAAAGAAUCAAGGGUCAAGAAAAUUAUCUUAAUGUUAUAUAAAAUGUAUUCAGGUCUGUUUUGUAUUUGCCUCAGUUUGUGUGUGUUUAAUAGAAUCCUAUUUCAAAAAAGGUGGUUAAGGCUUCAAUUUACAAACAGACACAAAGUCUAGUGCUGGUGUAUUCAGCUAGAAUACAGGACCUUUUAACCCCCUAAACUCUAAAUUAAAAAAAAGAAAUCUUCAAACUACCUGAAUGUGCUUGUUUUGCUCCUGCUCAGAGUCAAUGUCUUUGUUCGCCUGUCAGUCUCAUUUGGUGGGCAAGCUGUCUUUGGAAUCGUCCUCCUCACUAACUAUCUCGUUGAUUGUCAUUUGAGCAUGUUAGUCAUACAUCCUUGGGUUAAUGGUGGGUGGCAAUUAGCAGCCUCUCUUCAAGAUAUCUCCUUGUGCAUAUGACCUCCUUGUCUCUUUGUUAAGAAAAUGGCUAUAUAAUAAUUGUCAUCUCCCUGUGAUCUUCUUUCCUGAAGGUAGGAUUGGCAUCUAUCUCUGAUUAUGUUCAUUAAAAGUUGUGUUGUCAGAUUACCUGCAAGAAGCAGCACUCUCAUUAGGCAUGUAAUUUAUUCUUGUAACAUUCAUUAAAAGCUACGGUCACUUGGAAGAAGUAGUAACUUUUGUAAUGCACAUAUCAGAGAAACAGAUGUGGAAACUGUAGGUAGCAGCUGUUGGAAAAAAGAAAAAAAAAA